rnacentral:rRNA from 1 species
UGGGGAAUAUUGCACAAUGGAGGAAACUCUGAUGCAGCGAUGCCGCGUGAGGGAAGAAGGUUUUAGGAUUGUAAACCUCUGUCUUCAGGGACGAAAAAAGACGGUACCUGAGGAGGAAGCUCCGGCUAACUACGUGCCAGCAGCCGCGGUAAUACGUAGGGAGCGAGCGUUGUCCGGAAUUACUGGGUGUAAAGGGAGCGUAGGCGGGAUCGCAAGUCAGAUGUGAAAACUAUGGGCUUAACCCAUAAACUGCAUUUGAAACUGUGGUUCUUGAGUGAAGUAGAGGUAAGCGGAAUUCCUAGUGUAGCGGUGAAAUGCGUAGAUAUUAGGAGGAACAUCAGUGGCGAAGGCGGCUUACUGGGCUUUAACUGACGCUGAGGCUCGAAAGCGUGGGGAGCAAACAGGAUUAGAUACCCUGGUAGUCCACGCCGUAAACGAUGAUUACUAGGUGUGGGGGGACUGACCCCUUCCGCGCCGCAGCAAACGCAAUAAGUAAUCCACCUGGGGAGUACGACCGCAAGGUUGAAACUCAAAGGAAUUGACGGGGGCCCGCACAAGCAGUGGAGUAUGUGAAUUAAUUCGAAGCAACGCGAAGAACCUUACCAGGUCUUGACAUCGUAUGCAUACCUCAGAGAUGAGUGAAAUCUCUUCGGAGACAUAUAGACAGGUGGUGCAUGGUUGUCGUCAGCUCGUGUCGUGAGAUGUUGGGUUAAGUCCCGCAACGAGCGCAACCCUUACUGUUAGUUGCUACGCAAGAGCACUCUAGCAGGACUGCCGUUGACAAAACGGAGGAAGGUGGGGAUGACGUCAAAUCAUCAUGCCCCUUAUGACCUGGGCCUCACACGUACUACAAUGGCUGUUAACAGAGGGAUGCAAAGCCGCGAGGUGGAGCGAACCCCUAAAAGCAGUCUUAGUUCGGAUUGUAGGCUGCAACCCGCCUACAUGAAGUCGGAAUUGCUAGUAAUCGCAGAUCAGCAUGCUGCGGUGAAUACGUUCCC